AGUAGAAUUGCUGGAUCACAUGGUAACUCUAUUUAAUUUUUUUUUAAGGAACUAUCAUACUUUUAUAUAAUGGCUGUACCAUAUUUACAUUUCUACUAGCAGU
rnacentral:pre_miRNA from 1 species